rnacentral:rRNA from 1 species
UGGGGAAUUUUCGGCAAUGGGCGCAAGCCUGACCGAGCAACGCCGCGUGCAGGAUGACGGCCUUCGGGUUGUAAACUGCUUUUGGGGGGGAUGACAUCGACCGUACCCCCCGAACAAGCCCCGGCUAACUCCGUGCCAGCAGCCGCGGUAAGACAGAGGGGGCAAGCGUUGUCCGGAAUUACUGGGCGUAAAGCGCACGCCGGCGGCCAGGCAAGUGGUGUGUGACACCGGACGGCUUAACCGUCCGACGCCAUGCCAGACUGCCUGGCUCGAGCCGUGCAGAGGUCAGCGGAAUUGCCGGUGUAGGAGUGACAUCCGUAGAGACCGGCAGGAACACCGAUGGGGAAGCCAGCUGACUGGGCACCGGCUGACGCUCAGGUGCGACAGCGUGGGGAGCGAA